GAUCUUUUAUUCAAAUGAUGAUUUUAAAUUGCAAAUUUAAAGGUACUUAAUAUAGUUUAGAUUU
rnacentral:tRNA from 1 species